rnacentral:lncRNA from 10 species
GCCCUUCAAAAGCACGGAGGAAACUUAACUCAUAUUAGUAAGUGAGAGGAGCUGUGGACUUAAAAAUCGCACUUUAUAAAUUUAGAGUUUUAUUUCUUAAGAAGGAGAUGACAACCUACAGGUGGAAGCCGAAGCUCCAGCUGAAAACCAAAAGACUCCCGGAACGCAAGACGCCAAGACUGGCCCCCAAUUCGAGCUGUGGACCCUGCGUGAUGGGGCCAGGUCAGUGCAGAUUCGUCGCACAGCAAGGACCCAGCACCAAGGCAAAGGCGCUAACAAUAGGGGUGCAGAGUGUGUGUGAGGGGCGAGGCGAGGGGCACAUGGGGGCUCCGUCUACUUUCCACUCAGCUUUUCCAUAAACCCCAAACUGCUUUAGAUAGUAGAGCCUAUUAAUUUUUAAAAAAGUGUAGCUAUAAAAAUUCCAAGAAAAGAGAAGGAAGAAAGUGGAUGACAAUCAGUAUAAUCUUGAGGGCAUCCACGUGGCCAAUGGACUUGUGAAAACGUGAUCGGCUGCAGGCCCGCCUUGGCUGAGGGACCCCCUGCCGCACCGGCCAUUCCCCCCACAAGCCCAGACUUCCUGGAAGAGCUGGGGUCCUGCGUGCCACCUGCUCCGCCUCCUUCGGCCUGCAAUGGUUCAUUCUGUGUCAGCUUGGCCAGGCCGCAGGACUCUGAUGUUGGUCAAACAGCAGUCCAGAAGUUUCAGUGAAGGUAUUUUUCGAAGAUAAAAUUACCGCUGAGAUCAGUAGACUUUGAAUCAGCAGGUCAGCCUCCGCGACACAGGAGUCUCAUCCAGUCUAUGAAGGCCGGAGAGAAAGGAGAGAAAGGAGGAUGGAAUCCUGCCUGCAGGCAUCUUUGGAUUUGAGUGGCUACUUCGGCUCCUCCUGCGUCCCCAGCCUGCCUGCCUGCCGUAGUCAUGUGAGCCAAUUUCUCCAAGUUGAAUUGAGAUAAAAACUGAAGACCCCAAACCAAUCUUGGAUUCUGUGGCUAAGCAGUUGGGGACGACGGUGCCCCCGUGCCCGGGGCAGGCAUCCUGCGCUCUCACAGCCCUGGCCAGUGGCACCGGCAGUGCCCCUCCGGCCACACCCCGGCCAGGUUUUCUAAGGCUGGACAAACACAGGGGCCCCCACUGGUGGGUGCGGCAGACUGACUGGGGUCAGAGGUAUGGGGAGAACACGCGGAGAUCCACCCAAGAAGGGGAGCGAUUGUGCCACAGUCGAGGGGGCCACGGCGAUGGUGUGGUCACACGGCCUCGGUCACCCUCCAGAGGACCCUCCACAUCCUGAACUCUCCAGAAUCUCAGGAGCCUCACCCAGACUCAGAGCGAGGUU